GACGAACGCUGGCGGCGUGCUUAACACAUGCAAGUCGAGCGGUAAGGCCCUUUCGGGGGUACACGAGCGGCGAACGGGUGAGUAACACGUGGGUGACCUGCCCUCAGCUCUGGGAUAAGCCUGGGAAACUGGGUCUAAUACUGGAUAUGACUCCACGGUGCAUGUCGUGGGGUGGAAAGCCUUGUGCGGCUGAGGAUGGGCCCGCGGCCUAUCAGCUUGUUGGUGGGGGAUGGCCUACCAAGGCGACGACGGGUAGCCGGCCUGAGAGGGCGACCGGCCACACGUGGGACUGAGAC
rnacentral:rRNA from 1 species